rnacentral:rRNA from 1 species
AUUGAACGCUGGCGGCAGGCUUAACACAUGCAAGUCGAGCGAGCGGCGGACGGGUGGGUAAUGUCUGGGAACCUGCCUGAUGUAGGGGUAUAACUACUGGAAACGGUAGCUAAUACCGCAUACCAUCAGAUGUGCCCAUAUGGUAUUAGCUAGUAGGUGGGUGAAUGGCUCAGCUAGGCGACGAUCCCUAGCUGGUAUGAGAGGAUGACCAGCCACACUGGAACUGAGACACGGUCCAGAUUCCGACGGGAGGCAGCAGUGGGGAAUAUGGGAAAAUGGGCGCAAGCCUGAUGCAGCCAUGCCGCGUGUAUGAAGAAGGCCUUCGGGUUGUAAAGCACUUUCAGUCGGGAGGCGUUACCGACAGAAGAAGCACCGGCUAACGCCGUGCCAGCAGCCGCGGUAAUUC